AAUGCUGCAUACAGGAGAUGAGGGAGGACGGCCAGACACCUGGAAGCCGGAAAAUGAGUGAAGCUGUGCCUGAUGCUGGGUUGGCCCGGUGUGCAGGGUGCCAGGGUGCAGCGGGAGGGUGGACUAUAUACACCCUGUACAAGAGGUGCUCCUGAAACAGUAGUCAUUUAAAGAGGAGAGAGAAAGGGAGGAAAGGCAGCCAUCAGGUGGCGCACUGAGUCCACACCCCAAAAGGCAAAGGGCUCACCAGGACCUUAAGGACCUCUGCUGCUGCUGCUGCUGCUUCAGGACUCAGUGGCCUUUGAGGAUGUGGCAGUGAACUUCACCCAGGAGGAGUGGGCUUUGCUGGAUCCUUGGCAGAAAAAACUCUACAGAGAUGUGAUGCUGGAAACCUAUAGGAACCUGGCUUCA
rnacentral:lncRNA from 1 species